UAGCGUGUCCUGCAUUGCAACGUAAUGACUUGGGGGGACACCUUGGAGGAAAAGGGCACUACCGGAGGGACGACCGACGGGUGAAAGCAGGGGAUCUUCGGACCUUGCGCGAUUGAAUGAGCCGAUGUCCGAUUAGCUAGUUGGCGGGGUAAAGGCCCACCAAGGCGACGAUCCGUAGCUGGUCUGAAAGGAUGAUCAGCCACACUGGAACUGAGACACGGUCCAGACUCCUACGGGAGGCGGCAGUGGGGAAUAUUGGACAAUGGGCGCAAGCCUGAUCCAGCCAUACCGCGUGGGUGAAGAAGGCCUUCGGGUUGUAAAGCCCUUUUGUUGGGAAAGAAAUCCAACUGGCUAAUACCCGGUUGGGAUGACGGUACCCAAAGAAUAAGCACCGGCUAACUUCGUGCCAGCAGCCGCGGUAAUACGAAGGGUGCAAGCGUUACUCGGAAUUACUGGGCGUAAAGCGUGCGUAGGUGGUCGUUUAAUCCGUUGUGAAAGCCCUGGGCUCAACCUGGGAACUGCAGUGGAUACUGGGCAACUAGAGUGUGGUAUAGGGUAGCGGAAUUCCUGGUGUACCAUGAAAAUGCGUAAGAUCAGGAGGAACAUCCAUGGCGAAGCGCUACCUGGACCAACACUGACACUGAGCACGAAAAGCGUGGGGAGCAAACAGAUUAAUACCCCUGGUAGUCCACCCCCUAAACGAUGCAAACUGGAUGUUGGGGUGCAAUUUGGGCACCCACUAUCGAAGCUAACGCGUUAAUUCCUCCUCCCUGGGGGAGUACGGUGGGAGGACGGGAGACUCAAACGAAAUGAAGGGGGCCCCGCCCCAGCGCUGUAUUAUGUUGUUUUAUUUUUAAGCAGCACAAAAGACGCUUACCUUGUAUUGAGCGUCGAGAAAGUUUAAAAAUAUGGAUUUUUUGUUUUUGGGAACUCGAAACAAGGGUGCUGCUGACUGUUGUGUAUUCUUUUUCUUAACAAGUUAGAUAUAAGUUGCAAC
rnacentral:rRNA from 1 species